AGUGAAAUAGAACCUGAAACCGUGUACGUACAAGCAGUAGGAGCACCUUCGUGGUGUGACUGCGUACCUUUUGUAUAAUGGGUCAGCGACUUAUAUUCAGUGGCAAGGUUAACCGUAUAGGGGAGCCGUAGCGAAAGCGAGUCUUAACUGGGCGCUCAGUCUCUGGAUAUAGACCCGAAACCGGGUGAUCUAGCCAUGGGCAGGUUGAAGGUUGAGUAACAUCAACUGGAGGACCGAACCGACUAAUGUUGAAAAAUUAGCGGAUGACUUGUGGCUAGGGGUGAAAGGCCAAUCAAACUCGGAGAUAGCUGGUUCUCCCCGAAAGCUAUUUAGGUAGCGCCUCGGACGAAUACUACUGGGGGUAGAGCACUGUUAAGGCUAGGGGGUCAUCCCGACUUACCAACCCUUUGCAAACUCCGAAUACCAGUAAGUACUAUCCGGGAGACACACGGCGGGUGCUAACGUCCGUCGUGGAGAGGGAAACAACCCAGACCGCCAGCUAAGGUCCCAAAGUAUUGCUAAGUGGGAAACGAUGUGGGAAGGCUCAGACAGCUAGGAUGUUGGCUUAGAAGCAGCCAUCAUUUAAAGAAAGCGUAAUAGCUCACUAGUCGAGUCGGCCUGCGCGGAAGAUGUAACGGGGCUAAGCA
rnacentral:rRNA from 1 species